CAGUCGCCGCGGUAAUACAGAGGGUGCGAGCGUUAAUCGGAUUUACUGGGCGUAAAGCGUGCGUAGGCGGCUUUUUAAGUCGGAUGUGAAAUCCCUGAGCUUAACUUAGGAAUUGCAUUCGAUACUGGGAAGCUAGAGUAUGGGAGAGGAUGGUAGAAUUCCAGGUGUAGCGGUGAAAUGCGUAGAGAUCUGGAGGAAUACCGAUGGCGAAGGCAGCCAUCUGGCCUAAUACUGACGCUGAGGUACGAAAGCAUGGGGAGCAAACAGGAUUAGAGACCCGAGUAGUCCCUGUCUCUUAUAC
rnacentral:rRNA from 1 species